rnacentral:rRNA from 1 species
UACGUAGGGGGCAAGCGUUGUCCGGAUUUAUUGGGCGUAAAGCGCGUGUAGGUGGUCAAGUAGGUCCGCUGUGAAAACUUGAGGCUCAACCUCAAGCUGUCGGUGGAAACCCCUUGGCUAGAGUCCGGAAGAGGAGAGUGGAAUUCCUGGUGUAGCGGUGAAAUGCGCAGAUAUCAGGAAGAACACCAAUGGCGAAGGCAGCUCUCUGGGACGGUACUGACACUGAGACGCGAAAGCGUGGGGAGCGAACAGG